GAUCGCGCUGGGCGCCGGCAGCAGUGCCACCGCCAACAAUGCGGUAGCGCUGGGGGCCGGUUCGGUCGCCAGCCGCGAGCGC
rnacentral:tRNA from 1 species